rnacentral:rRNA from 1 species
AGUGACGUCAAGUCAUCAUGGCCCUUAUGUCCAGGGCGACACACGUGCUACAAUGGCCGGCACAGCGGGAAGCGAGGCAGUGAUGCCAAGCGGAUCCCUUAAAGCCGGUCUCAGUUCGGAUUGAAGUCUGCAACUCGACUUCAUGAAGCUGGAAUCGCUAGUAAUCGCAGAUCAGCCAAGCUGCGGUGAAUACGUUCCCGGGCCUU